rnacentral:rRNA from 1 species
UAAUACGGAGGGUGCAAGCGUUAAUCGGAAUUACUGGGCGUAAAGCGCACGCAGGCGGUUUGUUAAGUCAGAUGUGAAAUCCCCGGGCUCAACCUGGGAAUUGCAUUUGAAACUGGCAAGCUAGAGUCUCGUAGAGGGGGGUAGAAUUCCAGGUGUAGCGGUGAAAUGCGUAGAGAUCUGGAGGAAUACCGGUGGCGAAGGCGGCCCCCUGGACGAAGACUGACGCUCAGGUGCGAAAGCGUGGGGAGCAAACAGGAUUAGAUACCCUGGUAGUCCACGCUGUAAACGAUGUCGAUUUGGAGGUUGUGCCCUUGAGGCGUGGCUUCCGGAGCUAACGCGUUAAAUCGACCGCCUGGGGAGUACGGCCGCAAGGUUA